ensembl:snRNA U6 U6 spliceosomal RNA
GUACUUGCUUCGGCAGCAUGUAUACUGAAACUGGAACAAUACAGAGAAAAUUAGCAUGGCCGCUGUGCAAGGAUGGCAUGCAAAUAUGUGAAGCCUUCCAUAUUUAA